rnacentral:rRNA from 1 species
GACGAACGCUGGCGGCGUGCCUAAUACAUGCAAGUAGGACGCAGUUGCGAACGGGUGAGUAACGCGUGGGUAACUGCAUAUUAGCGGGGGAUAACUAUUGGAAACGAUAUCUAAUACCGCAUACUAGUAGAUGGACCUGCGUUGUAUUAGCUAGGAUGUCGGGUAAUGGCCGAACUAGGCGAAGAUACAUAGCCGACCUGAGAGGGUGAACGGCAAAAUCGGGAAUGUGGCACGGGCCAGACUUCUAAGGGAGGCAGCAGUAGGGAAACUUCGUCAAAUGGGGGAACCCUGAACGAGCAACGCCGCGGGAGUGAAGAAGGUUUUCGGGUCGUAAAGCUCUGUUGUUAAGGAAGCGGUACUUAACCAGAAAGGGACGGCUAACUACGUGCCAGCAGCCGCGGUAAUUC